ensembl:lncRNA
CGAACAGUUUAGAGAGGUAGGCCCCCACUUCUGGCCCUUCCCCUCGGCUUAUUUUUGCCUUGUAAAAUUAAAUUUGCACAUUUUGGAUGUGAUUAAGAAAUACCUAACUGCUAUAAAUAAACAAGCAGAUAAUAUGACACAAACAAAAGCCGGGCCUGCCAAGUCCUAACAAGUCAAGGAGAUGACGUUGUUUAUACACGCUUGAAACCACAGAGCAACGAAUGCUUCCAACCCAAAGCAAGCGUGCCAUGCCAUGCACAAACAAAACCAGAUCACCUGGGUUAAAAAGCACAGAUCUCGUCAUGAAACCCUGAAGAAUUCCUUUAUGACUUUCAUUUCCAUUGAUACUCACAAUUGGAAAUGAGUACUGAAAGUCCCAAGCUGCCUGCAGAGAGGUUUCCUGCCCUGGGAGGUUCCCUGCAAACGUGUCACAGAUCUAUGCAUAUGAGAAAGGUUUGUUUUCAACAGAGGUGGCGUUCACUGGACCAGGAAAAAAGAUUAGUCAUACAGAUUGAGAGAAAUCAAAUCCCUGAUCCAGAAGAAUUGUACUGAUACAAAAUGGAACACCUCCAACAGGGGUAACAGCAAGGAUUCCCAACACCAAAUACAUCAUAGCUUGAGGAUCUCCUUAUGUAUGUUGAGACCUAAGUUCUAAAGCUCUAAGUUCCAGCAUCUAAAACUGGACAUAAUAAAGACCGUCAAAGAUAACAAAAGGAUGGGACAGCUGCUUUGAAAAAUAUAACAAAUACAAUGAUUUCAUGUGAUGAAUUUUCUAGUAUGUUAGAAUCUGA